GCCGCCGAGGCUGGUUGAGUGUUUCCGCGGUUUUUGAUCAGCUUUGUACGAAGACUGAUUUUCGCUGAUCUUUGUCUUGUUACGUGUAUGUGGUGAACGGAGCAUUGCGGAGACUGAGAAUUAUGUGGGCUGUUCGCUGUGUUGUGGCAUUCGGGCAAAGCAAGAUCGCGAUGAGACAUCACUGCAAAAGAUGCCAGAAAAAGUUUACAUCAUUGGACACGUUCUUCAAGCACACAUUAUAUCAUGAAACGUCAUCAAGAGGUGUUCCAUGCAGCGUUGUCGGCUGUGAGGCUGCAUUCAAAAAUUACAACUCAUUGCGAAGCCACAUCACAAGGUGUCAUUCUCCGCUUGCACCUCGUAAUGCAACUAACUUCCAAUCCUGCCGGACAUGCAGUGUUAGUUCCUGCAGUGAAGAGGUUGUAGAACUCGUCAUGGCAACUGCCAUUUCAGAUGACCAAGUGUCAUAUCUGGCACUCUUGAUCAGUGAUUACAUCUGUGAGAGGGUAAGGUUGUUUCCAGCUGUUCCACUUCGUCCAAAGCAUCAUUAUUUAUUCCAUUAUCCUUAUCUCAUUAAACAGUUUGGACCACUCGUGAAAGUAUGGUCUCUCCGAUUCGAAAGUAAGCACAGCUACUUCAAACGUUGCAUUAGAGCAUCUGGCAACUUUAUUAAUGUUACGAAGUCACUUGCUCAGAAACACCAGCUCCUGCAGUCUUACUUGCAAAAGGAAGGCUUGUUUGGACCAGCUGCGGCGUUCAGUGACCUGACUCCUGCAUCUGAAAUAGCCAGUUUCGACAAAAACUUGUGGUGCUUCAUUCAGAAAAACUUGCCCACUAGUCAUGAAACCUUGAUGACUGCUUCGUCAGUGACACUAUGUGGCACACAUUACAAGCCAGGUUCUUACAUAGUGCUUGGUGGGGACCAGUACAACCUGCAGUUCGGCCAGCUUCUGCAUAUUGUGGUAGAGUCUGGCCAUGAGGCAACUCCAUUACUUCUUGUGAAAAAAGCAGCGUCUGCAUUCCUCCCAAACUUCAGGCUCUACAAGUUGAUGGAAUUGGAAGUGGAAGAGCUACAGUUGUUGUCUUCCUCUCAGCUGAUGGACAUACAUGCAUAUGUCCCGUACAGACUCCUCAACUGUCUUGUGAUCAGGCUGCGGAGUUCACUAUUGUUCGACGAUUUUGAAGAUGAUAGUCAAGAUCUGGAGCCUUGAUAAAACAAUAAAGAAACUGGCAGUGGUUGCCACUUUCGACGCCAUAAAGAAAAAGGCCAUAGAGUUCGGUAUAUGCUGCAAUGGAGACAUCAAGGUACACAUGCUGGAUGGAACGGAGGUGGACGAAGAAGCUUUCAAUUGUUUGAAUCAGUCAUCUGAGGAUGCUACUUACACCUUCAUUGCAACAACAGAUUCUUGGGUGUCAGGCAAG
rnacentral:misc_RNA from 1 species